rnacentral:lncRNA from 1 species
GUUAAUGAGCAAUCCAAAUGUUUAAUCAAAAAAAAAAAAAAAAACCCCACAAUGGCCUCAGUAUUUGGACCUGAGUGACGAAAACCCUGGUAGCCUUCCAGGGGGAAGCUGUUGGGGGAACUGCACUUGGCGUGGGGAGGCAGGAGCCUGGCUCACAGUGGGUCAGCUCUGAGAUGCUGGAGAUCCCCAAGGGGGCUGAGAAGACAAGUGGGGGCGCCGGAAGCCACUCAGCACCCCCAGAGCUGUCAGCCCAGGCACACACCUGGACCUCGGCCAGCCACAUCCCAGCCACAUCCUGACCACAUCCCCAGCCGGGAACCCAAGGAGUGGACAGCUGGAGGACAAUUGGCCAAGGGGAUGGAAGGCAGCUACAGUUGGCCAACGGGGUGGACAAACCAGAGCCCAAGUUGACGGCAGGCCCCCGCCUCAGGCUGGGGGUGGGAGGCCAGCACCGCUGUGACCAUCAGGAAGAAGGUGGUGGCCUGGUGAGGCCUGGAUACUCUAGCACCUUUGCAGCCAGACGUUGAUAGGGUCCCUGUUUCCC